rnacentral:rRNA from 1 species
CCAAUAGCGUAUACUAAAGUUGUUGCAGUUAAAAAGCUCGUAGUUGAAUUUCGGGAUCAGUACGCUGGUCGUGCCUCCGGUAUGUACUGGUGUCACUGAUUCCUCCCUUCUGAAGAACCAUCAUGCCAUUCACUUGGUGUGGUGGGGAAUCAGGACUGUUACUUUGAAAAAAUUAGAGUGUUUAAAGCAGGCUCGCGCUUGAAUACAUUAGCAUGGAAUAAUGAAAUAGGACGUUUAUCCUAUUUUGUUGGUUUCUAGGAUUGACGUAAUGAUUAAUAGGGAUAGUUGGGGGCAUUAGUAUUCAAUUGUCAGAGGUGAAAUUCUUGGAUUUAUUGAAGACUAACUACUGCGAAAGCAUUUGCCAAGGAUGUUUUCAUUAAUCAAGAACGAAAGUUAGGGGAUCGAAGACGAUCAGAUACCGUCGUAGUCUUAACCAUAAACUAUGCCGACUAGGGAUCGGAUGAUGUUAAUUUUUUAAUGACUCAUUCGGCGCCUUACG